rnacentral:pre_miRNA from 1 species
AGAUAUGUUUGGUUAAUUGGUGAUAGGUAACCACCACUGACCGAGCAUAUCCAG